GACGAACGCUGGCGGCGUGGAUUAGGCAUGCAAGUCGAACGGUAUCAUCCUUUCGGGGGUGAGAGAGUGGCGAACUGGUGAGUAACACGUAGGUUAUCUACCCUCAAGACGGGGACAACCCAGGGAAACUUGGGCUAAUACCGGAUGUGAGCAACUUUUAGUUGUUUGAAAGGUGGCGUAAGCUGUCGCUUGGGGAUGAGCCUGCGUCCUAUUAGUUAGUUGGUGAGGUAACGGCUCACCUAGGCAAUGAUAGGUAGGCGGCCUUAACGGGUGGUCGCCCACACUGGGAUUGAGAUACGGCCCAGACUCCUACGGGAGGCAGCAGUCGAGAAUAGUCUACAAUGGUCGGAAGACUGAUAGUGCGACGCCGCGUGAACGAUGAAUCCCUUCGGGGGUGUAAAGUUCUUUUAUAUGUGAGCAGUGCUUCUUAUAUUAACAGUAUGGGGAGAGAGAUAUUAGCAUAUGAAUAAGCAACGGCUAACUCCGUGCCAGCAGCCGACGGU
rnacentral:rRNA from 1 species